rnacentral:lncRNA from 1 species
GGCUUAUUUUCAUAUAAGUUUGCAUUUAUCUUGCUCCCAGGGUAAGGCCUGGGACUGGAACCUCAUCUCUCAGAGCAUGCUCAUGGUCUUAGGGGGCCACUCUUGCACCCAACCUGUGUUGAGGGAUGAUGUGAAGGGAUUAUGAUAGGGACUUUGUGAGUGGCCUGUGGGACCAGCUAGCUGGAUGCCUCUCUGACUCAUCCAUUUAGGCCAAGAAUUUCUGUAGGGCUGGUCAUGGGGUUAUCAGGAUGAGAAGGAGAGUUUUAUGGUUUGAGUGACAAAGAAAUUGAGUUAUCUCUUUGGAGCCCUUGUCAAUCUCAUCUAAAAUGAUUCUUCUAACUGAAUGGGGGGAAAGCCAAAGUACCAAAUUAGAAGAAGAACCUAUUGAGAAUCUGGCUGUAUUCUGGUAACCACUCUUCAACUCAGUUAUAUUGUAACAAAUUAUCUCAGUACAGGUUACACAAUAUAAAUAUUUUCUCACAUUUCUAGAUGCUUAAAGUUGCAGGAUCAAACUGCUGGCAGGGUUGAUUUCUCUUGAGGACUCUAAGCCAUUUUUUAACAUGGUCACCUUCUUACUGUGUGCUCACCUGUCCUCUCCUCUGUGUUUUUAGUCUUUAAAUACUUUCUUUGGUUUAAAAGGACCAAGAUUGUAUAUUCC